GACGUAGGGGGCGAGCGCUGUCCGGAUUUAUUGGGCGUAAAGAGCUCGUAGGCGGCUCGUUGCGUCGGCUGUGAAAACCCGCAGCUCAACUGUGGGCUUGCAGCCGAUACGGGCGGGCUGGAGUUCGGUAGGGGAGACUGGAAUUCCUGGUGUAGCGGUGAAAUGCGCAGAUAUCAGGAGGAACACCGGUGGCGAAGGCGGCUUCUGGACCAAUACUGACGCUGAGACGCGAAAGCGUGGGGAGCAAACAGG
rnacentral:rRNA from 1 species